rnacentral:rRNA from 1 species
GGCUCAGGAUGAACGCUGGCGGCGUGCCUAAUACAUGCAAGUCGAACGCACAGCGAAAGGUGCUUGCACCUUUCAAGUGAGUGGCGAACGGGUGAGUAACACGUGGAUAACCUACCUCAAGGUUGGGGAUAACGUUUGGAAACAGAUGCUAAUACCGAAUAAAACUUCGUAUCGCAUGAUACAAGGUUAAAAGGCGCUACGGCGUCACCUAGAGAUGGAUCCGCGGUGCAUUAGUUAGUUGGUGGGGUAAAGGCCUACCAAGACAAUGAUGCAUAGCCGAGUUGAGAGACUGAUCGGCCACAUUGGGACUGAGACACGGCCCAAACUCCUACGGGAGGCUGCAGUAGGGAAUCUUCCACAAUGGGCGAAAGCCUGAUGGAGCAACGCCGCGUGUGUGAUGAAGGCUUUCGGGUCGUAAAGCACUGUUGUAUGGGAAGAACAGCUAGAGUAGGGAAUGACUUUAGUUUGACGGUACCAUACCUGAAAGGGACGGCUAAAUACGUG